ensembl:snRNA U6 U6 spliceosomal RNA
GUGCUCCAUUCGGCAGCAUAUAUACUAAAAUUGGAACGAUACAGAGAAGAUCAGCAUGGCCCCUGCGCAAGGAUGACACGAAAAUUCGUGAAGCGUUCCCUAUUAUA